UACGGAGGGUGUAAGCGUUAAUCGGAAUUAUUGGGCGUAAAGAGCUCGUAGGCGGCUUGUCACGUCGGGUGUGAAAGCUCGGGGCUUAACCCCGAGUCUGCAUUCGAUACGGGCAGGCUAGAGUGUGGUAGGGGAGAUCGGAAUUCCUGGUGUAGCGGUGAAAUGCGCAGAUAUCAGGAGGAACACCGGUGGCGAAGGCGGAUCUCUGGGCCAUUACUGACGCUGAGGAGCGAAAGCGUGGGGAGCGAACAGG
rnacentral:rRNA from 1 species